GAUGAACGCUGGCGGCGUGCUUAACACAUGCAAGUCGAACGGUGAACGAGGGAGCUUGCUCCCUCCGGAUCAGUGGCGAACGGGUGAGUAACACGUGAGCAAUCUGCCCUGGACUCUGGGAUAAGCGUUGGAAACGACGUCUAAUACCGGAUACGAGACGUGAAGGCAUCUUCAACGUCUGGAAAGAACUUCGGUCCAGGAGGAGCUCGCGGCCUAUCAGGUAGUUGGUGAGGUAAUGGCUCACCAAGCCUACGACGGGUAGCCGGCCUGAGAGGGUGACCGGCCACACUGGGACUGAGACACGGCCCAGACUCCUACGGGAGGCAGCAGUGGGGAAUAUUGCACAAUGGGCGCAAGCCUGAUGCAGCAACGCCGCGUGAGGGACAACGGCCUUCGGGUUGUAAACCUCUUUUAGCAGGGAAGAAGCGAAAGUGACGGUACCUGCAGAAAAAGCACCGGCUAACUACGUGCCAGCCGCCGCGGUAACAC
rnacentral:rRNA from 1 species